GCCCGUCUGGUCUAGUGGUUAGGGCGCCGCCAACCUUCGGCGGAGACCCGGGUUCGACCCCCGGGAUGGGCA
rnacentral:tRNA from 1 species